rnacentral:tRNA from 1 species
GCCCGGGUGGUGGAAUUGGUAGACACGCCAGAUUCAGGUUCUGGUGGUCGCAAGGCCGUGGAGGUUCGAGUCCUCUCUCGGGCACCA